AUUGAACGCUGGCGGCAGGCCUAACACAUGCAAGUCGAGCGGAAGAAGGGAGCUUGCUCCUGGAUUCAGCGGCGGACGGGUGGGUAAUGCCUAGAAAUCUCCCUGGCUGUGGGGGAUAACGUCCGGAAGCGGGCGCUAAUACCGCAUUAGUGCUGAGGGCGUAAGUGGGGGAUCUUCGGACCUCACGAUCUCAGAUGAGCCGAGGUCGGAUUAGCUAGUUGGUGGGGUAAAGGCCUACCAAGGCGACGAUCCGUAGCUGGUCUGAGAGGAUGAUCAGUCACACUGGAACUGAGACACGGUCCAGACUCCUACGGGAGGCAGCAGUGGGGAAUAUUGGACAAUGGGCGAAAGCCUGAUCCAGCCAUGCCGCGUGUGUGAAGAAGGUCUUCGGAUUGUAAAGCACUUUUAGUUGGGAGGAAGGGCAGUAAGUUAAUACCUUGCUGUUUUGACGUUACCAACAGAAUAAGCACCGGCUAACUUCGUG
rnacentral:rRNA from 1 species